UACGGAAGGUCCGGGUGUUAUCCGGAUUUAUUGGGUUUAAAGGGAGCGUAGGCCGGAGAUUAAGCGUGUUGUGAAAUGUAGACGCUCAACGUCUGCACUGCAGCGCGAACUGGUUUCCUUGAGUACGCACAAAGUGGGCGGAAUUCGUGGUGUAGCGGUGAAAUGCUUAGAUAUCACGAAGAACUCCGAUUGCGAAGGCAGCUCACUGGAGCGCAACUGACGCUGAAGCUCGAAAGUGCGGGUAUCGAACAGG
rnacentral:rRNA from 1 species